GUGGGGAAUUUUGCGCAAUGGGGGAAACCCUGACGCAGCAACGCCGCGUGAGUGAUGAAGGCUUUCGGGUCGUAAAGCUCUGUCAGAAGGGAAGAAAUGUAGGUGGCUAAUAUCCAUUCUACUUGACGGUACCUUCAAAGGAAGCACCGGCUAACUCCGUGCCAGCAGCCGCGGUAAUACGGAGGGUGCGAGCGUUGUUCGGAAUUAUUGGGCGUAAAGCGCGUGUAGGCGGUUUAUUAAGUCUGAUGUGAAAGCCCCGGGCUCAACCUGGGAAGUGCAUUGGAUACUGGUAGACUUGAGUACGGGAGAGGGUAGUGGAAUUCCUAGUGUAGGAGUGAAAUCCGUAGAUAUUAGGAGGAACACCGGUGGCGAAGGCGGCUGCCUGGACCGAUACUGACGCUGAGACGCGAAAGCGUGGGGAGCAAACAGGAUUAGAAACCCUUGUAGUCC
rnacentral:rRNA from 1 species